rnacentral:rRNA from 1 species
UACGUAGGGUGCGAGCGUUGUCCGGAAUUAUUGGCGUAAAGAGCUCGUAGGCGGUCUGUCGCGUCGGUCGUGAAAACUUGGGGCUUAACCCUGAGCUUGCGGUCGAUACGGGCAUGACUGGAGUUCGGUAGGGGAGACUGGAAUUCCUGGUGUAGCGGUGAAAUGCGCAGAUAUCAGGAGGAACACCAAUGGCGAAGGCAGCACUCUGGGACGUGACUGACGCUGAGACGCGAAAGCGUGGGGAGCAAACAGG